UUGACUGGCUUUGCUUUUCUUCUUGGUGCAAUAGUUGAUAAACAGCCAGCGCCUGUGGCCUCUCAAAGCUUGUCCAAGUCUCCCUAGGGGACAGAGGAACUAUGUAAGUUGCCUCCUGGGAUUCAUAAAGGAAGAUGGCAUCAGGGCCAAACACUUUGGAAAACACGUCACAGGCCAGCAGUGUGUGACCAACCCAGUGCCUUUGUGGCCGAUGGAUCCACACACCUGGACCAACCCAAAAUCCGAGUUGAGUUGUAAAACAAGGUCAGCCUGUGAGGGGCCCUUCUCCAUCUGCCGAGGAUAGUCUGUCUGGAACCAAGGAGAAAGAUGGUCUUGGCAGGAGGCUCCCUUGGCCUGGCAGGCUGGAUAGAGUCACAGUCCAUAGCCAAGGUCAAAAUAUAUUUAGCCAGCGGCAGUUAAAUGGAAACAUUCUAACUUAAAAAAAAAAUGUCAGAGGACCUGACUAAUUAUCUCAACAGGCAGGAAAUGACGCGCAGCAAGAAAACACCAACCGAAAUACCAACGGCCCCUUCCACCCUGAAACAGGAGCACAGGAACCAGGGAGAAAGGAGCAGUGGAGGCAGGGCGCGGGCAGCAAGGGGGCAGCGAGAGUGACCAGAGGACGCUGCGGGGCCUCAGCACUGGGCAAUGCCACCCGGUCCCAACUCCCAGUGGGCACUUGAAAAGAAGGCCUGGCUCUCCUGAGGCCACCGUCAGGCCCACAGGCCAGGACCUGGCCAGCAGAUGCUGCGUGGGAUGGUCCCCUCACAGAAUGGCCUGUCCCUGGCAGGAAAGAAACUCUGCUUUCAGACCCCUCCUGAUUCUCUGCCCACAGCAGGGGUGGCUCCAAGGGUACCUCCCUGGCACCCAGCCUGGAGCCUCCAGUCCCCCUCCAGGUGGCUACCUCUUCAUGAUCCUCCUCACCCUCUGCUGUAGCCACACCCUCUGGUGACAAUACAAAGUCCCAAGUAUCCACCUCCUACACUCAAAGCCCAAAGCAGGUGGAAUUCUCCUUCACCAUCUCUAACUAAAAUCCAUAACACCCCAGAGGGCAAACUGUGCCCAGUUUUUCAUGAAUGCUUCACCCUUCCCAGGAUGCCUGGUCCCUCCUUCAGACUCCACACACUAUGCACGCCAUGUCUCUGUACCUUUGCACAUGCUAUUCCCUCUGCUGGAUGCCUUUCCCUGCCCUGCCUAAUGAACUCCCACUGGACCUUCACCUCUUCUGCGGUGCCUCCCCUGCCUGGCUCUAGCCCCUUUCACUCUCUAGCACCAUCUGUGCAGGGGUGCUGGGGAAGGGCCCUGCUUUCUGAAAUGUCAGCUCUCGCGCAAUCUUAC
rnacentral:lncRNA from 1 species